rnacentral:rRNA from 1 species
UAAGACGGAGGGUGCUAGCGUUGUUCGGAUUUACUGGGCGUAAAGGGCGCGUAGGCGGCCUUCUCAGUCGGGUGUGAAAGCCCGGGGCUCAACCCCGGAACGGCACCCGAGACGGGUUGGCUGGAGACCGGGAGAGGAGGGUGGAAUAGCCAGUGUAGAGGUGAAAUUCGUAGAUAUUGGCUGGAACACCGGUGGCGAAAGCGGCUCUCUGGCCCGGUUCUGACGCUGAGGCGCGAAAGCGUGGGGAGCAAACAGGAUUAGAUACCCUGGUAGUCCACGCCGUAAACUAUGGGUGCUAGCCGUCAGGAAGCUUGCUUUUUGGUGGCGCAGCUAACGCAUUAAGCACCCCGCCUGGGGAGUACGGUCGCAAGAUUA